ensembl:snRNA U6 U6 spliceosomal RNA
GUACUUGCUUUUGUAUCACAUGUACUAAAAUCGGAAUGAUGCAGAGAUUAGCAUGGCCCCAGUUCAGGGACAGCAUGCAAAUUUUAGAACAGUUCCAUAUUUUU